UGUAGAAUAAUUUUAAUUAAAUUACUAGAUUGUAAAUCUAGUGUUAACUUUUAUUAGUUUUCUACAA
rnacentral:tRNA from 1 species